rnacentral:rRNA from 1 species
GACGAACCGUGCGAACGUUAUUCGGAAUCACUGGGCUUAAAGCGCGUGUAGGCGGGACGGCACGUCGGUCGCUGAAAUCCCCCGGCUCAACCGGGGAACGGGCGCCGAUACGACCGCCCUGGAGGGGCGUAGGGGGACCUGGAACUUCCGGUGGAGCGGUGAAAUGCGUUGAGAUCGGAAGGAACACCGGUGGCGAAGGCGGCGAUCUGGGUCGAUACUGACGCUGAGGUGCGAAAGCGUGGGGAGCAAACAGG